AGUGAACGCUGGCGGUAGGCCUAACACAUGCAAGUCGAACGGCAGCACAGUAAGAGCUUGCUCUGACGGGGGGGGAGUGGCGGACGGGUGAGGAAUACAUCGGAAUCUACUUUUUCGUGGGGGAUAACGUAGGGAAACUUACGCUAAGACCGCAUAGGACCUACGGGUGAAAGCAGGGGAUCUUCGGACUUUGCGCGAUUGAAUGAGCCGAUGUCGGAUUAGCUAGUGGGCGGGGUAAAGGCCCACCAAGGCGCCGAUCCGUAGCUGGUCUGAGAGGAUGAUCAGCCACUCUGGCACUGAGACACGGUCCAGCCUCCUACGGGAGGCCGCAGUGGGGAAUAUUGGACAAUGGGCGCAAGCCUGAUCCAGCCAUACCGCGUGGGUGAAGAAGGCCUUCGGGUUGUAAAGCCCUUUUGUUGUGAAAGAAAAGCAGCAGGUUAAUACCCCGCUGUUCUGACGGUACCCAAAGAAUAAGCACCGGCUAACUUCGUG
rnacentral:rRNA from 1 species